CAUUUUGAUAAAUCGGAAGUCGCCAAGAGCUGCAGAAAUGAUAGAGAGAACUGUCUUUAUCUCAGUAACUUGAACGGAAUAGCAACGGAAGGAUGUUCACACCGGUUUGUAGAUGUAAAAUACUGCCAGUGUCAUCUGAAGACGGAAAAAAGGUUCAUACACAUCUAGAAGCGGACCUGGAUUAGGAAGCUGGUACAGAUUUGUUUACUUGGUAAAGGUUGAUGAAUACUUAUUUCUUCACUCUGGUAGAAGAUUGAAUAGUGUGACGUCAUGAAGUGGCAAACUACCCUGCUUCUGAUUGGUUGUCUUCUCUUAAUGGGUGCAAUGACAACGGAGGCGUUUUGUAAGCUUCCAGGCUCGAGAUGCCGAGUGUACAGUGGUGCAUCGUGUUGUUUUGGAUAUUACUGUGGUAGGGAUUAUCCAGGAUCUCUGUUCAGAACAUGUACUAGUAGAUUAAUAUGAUAAUCCUUUCUUCGCUUUAAGAACGGCCUGCAAGUUUUUGAUUUUUUUACUAUGAAUAAAAUUCGGUUUUCAUUUUGCUGCAAUAUUUCCUUAUUAUUAUUAUCUAGCUUCUCUGUAUGUUAUCAGCUUAAUGCUGUUUUUUUUCCCUAUUUUAUAUAAAUAAGUACACUUUACCUUAUUUGUUACGUUUAAACCAAAGAGAGUUGAAAACGCCAUUAAGCUUUAAGCACAUGGUUUUAGGGCUAGUGUCAAGUAUGUAUCGAUUUUAAAACAAUAAAUGCUUGUUUUAUAUGUGAAAA